ensembl:lncRNA novel transcript
CGACACGUCCCCCGGGCGCCACUGCAGAGCCUGUCCGUCAGUCCCUAGGUAUCCGCACUGCUCAGGGGAGGAUUCCCUGGGAGCACCCACCAGCUGAGAUCUGCACAUCAGCCACAAUCCUCUCAGGACGGCGGAAAGGGAAGGGCUCAGCUGCCAGCCUGGCCACAGCCUGCAUCAUCUCAUCCCAGAGGCGGAGCACAGGCUCGGGGUCCUUCAGGGCCUGAAGGAGGUAGAGCCCGGUACUCACCCAGCAAUCAUUGUUGCCUGACAAAAGUCACAGAGAAGGCUCAGUUCUUCCUUCCUAUGUGAGUAUAUCUCCACUUGGGGCCUCCCAGCCCCUCCCAGUGGUACAGCUUCUCCCCUGUGUAUCUCAAGUCAUCCAUACUUCUUAGACUCAUCCCCUCUAAACCUUAAGCAGUGUCCCAAUCCCCAUCUUCUUGAAAGUACCUGAUGAAGAAUGGAG